GUACGCUGGCGGCACGCCUUAUACAUGCAAGUCGAACGAAGUAGCAAUACUUAGUGGCAGACGGGUGAGUAACAUGUAGGUAUCUUCCCUUUGGUGAGGAAUAACACGAGGAAACUUGUGCUAAUACCUCAUAAGUCUUUACGGAGAAAGCUUUAUGCGCCGAAGGAUGAGCCUGCACUUGAUUAGUUUGUUGGUGGGGUAAUGGCCUACCAAGACUUUGAUCUAUAGCUGAUCUGAGAGGAUGAUCAGCCACAUUGGGACUGAGACACGGCCCAAACUCCUACGGGAGGCAGCAGUAGGGAAUAUUGCACAAUGGAGGAAACUCUGAUGCAGCGAUGCCGCGUGAGUGAAGAAGGCCUUUGGGUUGUAAAGCUCUUUCGUCGGGGAAGAAAAUGACUGUACCCGAAUAAGAAGGUCCGGCUAACU
rnacentral:rRNA from 1 species